UACGUAGGGUGCUAGCGUUGUUCGGAAUCAUUGGGCGUAAAGCGCGUGUAGGCGGUUAGUUAAGUCGGGUGUGAAAUCCCUGGGCUCAACCGAGGAAGUGCAUCCGAAACUAACUAGCUAGAGAAUGGUAGAGGAAGGUGGAAUUCCGUGUGUAGAGGUGAAAUUCGUAGAUAUACGGAGGGAUACCGGUGGCGAAGGCGGCCUUCUGGACCAUUUCUGACGCUGAGACGCGAAAGCGUGGGGAGCAAACAGG
rnacentral:rRNA from 1 species